UUUGAUCCCCAAUUCCAACCCUGUACAAUCUGGCUGGUUCUUCGAAAUGCCUACUCUCAGGGGGCAUUGAUAAAUAAAUAAAGUACCACUUCUUCCCUAGGCAUCCUAUUAUUCGAUGCAUGCAGAGCGAUUUCUGGUAGUGGAAAACCUUGGAACAUAUGUGGUUAUCUUAAAUGGGAACAAACCUAUGGGUUUAAUGAUAAAUACCUAUGCCCUAGUAGAAUAACUACUGACCCUGGUUGUCCAAAUAGGGACUUCAACUUUUGCCUAUACUGGUCAUGUGUAGGUUGGGCGAUCUGGGGAAAAACAGUAGACCAAGACCUGAUAAUUCAGAG